rnacentral:rRNA from 1 species
UACAGAAGUCUCAAGCGUUGUUCGGAUUCAUUGGGCGUAAAGAGCUCGUAGGCGGUUCGUCGCGUCGGCUGUGAAAUCCCGAGGCUCAACCUCGGGUCUGCAGUCGAUACGGGCGGACUGGAGUUCGGCAGGGGAGACUGGAAUUCCUGGUGUAGCGGUGAAAUGCGCAGAUAUCAGGAGGAACACCGGUGGCGAAGGCGGGUCUCUGGGCCGAUACUGACGCUGAGGAGCGAAAGCGUGGGGAGCGAACAGG